GACGAACGCUGGCGGCGUGCUUAACACAUGCAAGUCGAACGGAAAGGCCCUGCUUUUGUGGGGUGCUCGAGUGGCGAACGGGUGAGUAACACGUGAGUAACCUGCCCUUGACUUUGGGAUAACUUCAGGAAACUGGGGCUAAUACCGGAUAGGAGCUCCUGCUGCAUGGUGGGGGUUGGAAAGUUUCGGCGGUUGGGGAUGGACUCGCGGCUUAUCAGCUUGUUGGUGGGGUAGUGGCUUACCAAGGCUUUGACGGGUAGCCGGCCUGAGAGGGUGACCGGCCACAUUGGGACUGAGAUACGGCCCAGACUCCUACGGGAGGAAGCAGUGGGGAAUAUUGCACAAUGGGCGGAAGCCUGAUGCAGCAACGCAGCGUGCGGGAUGACGGACUUCGGGUUGUAAACCGCUUUCGCCUGUGACGAAGCGUGAGUGACGGUAAUGGGUAAAGAAGCACCGGCUAACUACGUG
rnacentral:rRNA from 1 species